CCCUCACCUCUCUCUAAAGCUUUGGCGCCCACCGAAAAUCGCCUACAACGGCAACGAUACUCUAAACCCGCCCAAAAUUAUACCAUAUGUUCCGUACACCCUCUUAAACCUCAUCCUACGAAUAGAUUUCCCAAAAGCCCUAUCAAAUCAUCAUUUUUUAGAUAUGAAAUUCGAAGUAAACCUAGUUUUGCAUUUUUGUGGAUUUCUACAGUAAUUGUUGUUCAUUUUGGUUUGACGCUCACCCAAAUCGAU
rnacentral:lncRNA from 1 species